rnacentral:ncRNA from 1 species
GUGUUGAAUGAAAGGAGAUAAGGUUAGCCCUCCCCUUGACAAGGAUGGAAGAUGCUCUUGGGUCUGACCAUAUGCAUAUGUUUAAGGCAUUGCCACCUACUUCAUGACAUCUAACCAUUUUUUUUU